CCUACGGGUGGCAGCAGUGAGGAAUAUUGGUCAAUGGACGCAAGUCUGAACCAGCCAAGUCGCGUGCAGGAUGACGGCCCUAUGAGUUGUAAACUGCUUUUGUACGAGGAUAAACCCCGAUACGUGUACCGGGUUGAAUGUACCGUAUGAAUAAGGAUCGGCUAACUCCGUGCCAGCAGCCGCGGUAAUACGGAGGAUCCGAGCGUUAUCCGGAUUUAUUGGGUUUAAAGGGAGCGUAGGCGGUUUGAUAAGUUAGAGGUGAAAGGUCGGGGCUCAACCCCGAAACUGCCACUAAUACUGUUGGACUUGAGAACAGUUGCGGUAGGCGGAAUGUGUGGUGUAGCGGUGAAAUGCUUAGAGAUCAUGCAGAACACCGAUUGCGAAGGCAGCUUACCAAACUGUAACUGACGCUGAUGCUCGAAAGCGUGGGUAGCAAACAGGAUUAGAUACCCCUGUAGUC
rnacentral:rRNA from 1 species